rnacentral:snoRNA from 1 species
ACCUCAGACGCUGCACAGCCUCAUCCAAAACAUCGACCUCAAGCAAGCGCCGUGACAGACCAGCAGCGAUGGGCAGGCCUCUCGCCCUGUUUUCCCCUUGACUGGUUGCUCUUGUCCUGCAUAGUCGAGACCCCCCUGGCGGCCCCCCGGAGGCAAUCCCAGUUACGCGACUCCGUUUCGCCGUCUCAGUCGCUGGUUUCAAGUUAUCUCGACCUCCUCCUGCUCCCACAACAACAGCAGCAGUAGACUGACUGGCUGACUGACUGGCCGGCGCCAAAAGUCAGCCCUUAUAUUGGGGAUAUCCCGUCUUCUUGACGAAGAAGAGCAGCAAAUACCGUCUAUACGGCGAGCUUGGGAAGAGACAGGAAGGGGUGCUCUCGUCUGCCCUCUGCGAGCUAGCUAUAUUUACGCCCACGGCUCUGCUCAGAACAUGCUCGAAUUCGCCCACUGAGACGGGCCUCUUGAUCG